GCGCUCGCUUCAGCAGCACAUACACUAAAACUCGGAACAAUACGGAGAAGAUUAGCAUGGCCCCUGCGCAAGGGUGGCACACAAAUUCAUGAAGUGUUCCAGAUUUCU